UGAUAUAGUAUAGUGGUGAGUAUUCCUGUCUGUCACGCAAGUGACCCAGGUUCGAUUCUCGGUAACGGUGUCAAAA